rnacentral:rRNA from 1 species
GACGAACGCUGGCGGCGUGCCUAACACAUGCAAGUCGAGCGAGUGAAUCUCCUUCGGGAGUGAAACUAGCGGCGGACGGGUGAGUAACACGUGGGCAACCUGCCUCAUAGAGGGGAAUAGCCUUUCGAAAGGAAGAUUAAUACCGCAUAAGAUUGUAGCUUCGCAUGAAGUAGCAAUUAAAGGAGUAAUCCGCUAUGAGAUGGGCCCGCGGCGCAUUAGCUAGUUGGUGAGGUAACGGCUCACCAAGGCGACGAUGCGUAGCCGACCUGAGAGGGGGAGCGGCCACAUUGGGGCUGGGGCACGGCCCAGACUCCUACGGGAGGCAGCAGUGGGGAAUAUUGCACCAUGGGGGAAACCCUGAUGCAGCAACGCCGCGUGAGUGAUGACGGCCUUCGGGUUGUAAAACUCUGUCUUCAGGGACGAUAAUGACGGUACCUGAGGAGGAAGCCACGGCUAACUACGUGCCAGCCGCCGCAGUAA